rnacentral:rRNA from 1 species
AUUGAACGCUGGCGGCAGGCCUAACACAUGCAAGUCGAACGAGAGGCGGACGGGUGAGAAAUGUCUGGGCAACUGCCUGAUGGAGGGGUAUACCUACUGGUAACGGUAGCUAAUACCGCAUACCAUCAGAUAUGCCCAGAUGGGAUUAGCUAGGUGGGGGGGUAACGGCGCACCACGGCGACGAUCCCUAGCUGGUCUGAGAGGAUGACGAGCCACACUGGAACUGAGACACGGUCCAGACUCCUACGGGAGGCAGCAGUGGGGAAGAUUGCACAAUGGGCGCAAGCCUGAUGCAGCCAUGCCGCGUGUAUGAAGAAGGCCUGCGGGUUGUAAAGUACUUUCAGCGGGGAGGCGGUACCCGCAGAAGAAGCACCGGCUAACUCCGUGCCAGCAGCCGCGGUAAUUC